rnacentral:rRNA from 1 species
CCUACGGGAGGCUGCAGUAAGGAAUAUUGGUCAAUGCCCGCAAGGGUGAACCAGCCAUCCCGCGUGCAGGAAGAAGGGGCUCUGCCUUGUAAACUGCUUUUGCAUGGGACGAAAAAAGGGGAUUUAUCCUCGACUGACGGUACCAUGAGAAUAAGCACCGGCUAACUCCGUGCCAGCAGCCGCGGUAAUACGGAGGGUGCGAGCGUUAUCCGGAAUCACUGGGUUUAAAGGGUGCGUAGGCGGUUAUAUAAGUCAGUGGUGAAAGGCCGUCGCUUAACGAUGGGACUGCCAUUGAUACUGUAUAACUUGAGAGAGGUUGAGGUUGGCGGAAUGUGGCAUGUAGCGGUGAAAUGCUUAGAUAUGCCAUAGAACACCAAUUGCGAAGGCAGCUGACUAGACCUCAUCUGACGCUGAGGCACGAAAGCGUGGGGAGCGAACAGGAUUAGAUACCCUGGUAGUC